UACAGAGGGUGCGAGCGUUAAUCGGAAUUACUGGGCGUAAAGCGCACGUAGUCGGCUUUGCAAGUCGGGUGUGAAAUCCCCGGGCUCAACCUGGGAACUGCAUCCGAGACUGCAUUGCUAGAGUAUGGGAGAGGAAAGCGGAAUUUCUGGUGUAGCAGUGAAAUGCGUAGAUAUCAGAAGGAACAUCAGUGGCGAAGGCGGCUUCCUGGACCAAUACUGACGAUCAGGUGCGAAAGCGUGGGGAGCAAACAGG
rnacentral:rRNA from 1 species